UGGUUUAGUUCCUGCUAAGCAGGGCUUGCACAGAGCCAAGGACUUUUCUGCUCCUCGCCCCACCCCACCAGCGAGAGGCUGGGGGUGCACCAGGAGUUGGG